rnacentral:rRNA from 1 species
AUGUGUGUCUCGAAGAAGAAGGGAGGUAUGGGAUUUAUAGACCUUCAUAGCUUUAACCUUGCUAUGUUAGCAAAGCAGUGCUGGCGACUGAUCCAGAAUCCUGACUUUUUGUGUGCAUGUGUUCUAAGUGCAAAAUACUAUCCUGAUGGUAAUGUUCUGAGAGCUGGCUCAAAGAAAGACUCCUCGUUUACAUGGAAAAGUUUGGUUGUUGGGAUACAAACUUUCAAGAGGGGAUGUAUUUGGCGAGUGGGCACUGGUUCACAGAUUAACAUUUGGGAUGAUCCAUGGCUCCCAUCAAGUCCAACAAGGAAGAUUAUCACCCCUAGAGGUGGAAUCAUGUUGUCAAAAGUGCAAGAGAUAAUUGACCCUCAUACGGGUCAGUGGGACGAGGCACUAAUUCAGAGCGUGUUCUCACCAGUUGAUGUACGCAGAAUACUACAAAUUCCACUACAUGUUGAAGCACUAGAAGAUUUUGUGGCAUGACACUAUACAAAGUCUGGAACCUUCUCAGUACGCUCGGCAUAUCACUUAGAAUUUGACCACCAGUCCGGUCGCCACUAUGCAAAUUCGAACAGUCCGGGGAGUGCUCAACUUAGCGGGGUUUGGAAGGAACUAUGGCAUCUUCGUUUACCGGGAAAGAUCAAGCAUUUUGGUUGGAAAGUACUUAAGGGAGUAGUUCCAUGCUACGGUGUACUCACGGGCAGACACAUACCCUUGAUCCCGCAAUGCCUGAUAUGCAAAGUUGGUUUGGAAGACAUUCAACAUUGUCUUUUCACAUGUGAUAGAGCAACACAAGUGUGGUCAUCACUAGGGUUAACUGAGGAGAUCGACAGAGCAGUUGUGCAGGACCGUUCCGGGUCUAUCACUUUGGACAUUCUGAUCCGCCUGCAUAUGACUACACAUGAUAUUCCCACUGCCGAGCUCAUCCUGGUGGCAUGUGGUUUAUAUGGUGGCAAAGGAGGCAAGUUGCGAAGGGGGAGACUGUCCCAACUCCAGAGCAAUCAGCAAUCUCAAUGCGGGUACUUGCUACCAAUUUUGUCCGUGUAA